rnacentral:rRNA from 1 species
AGGGUGUAAACGCUGCCGACUUGGUGUUGGAGGCCCUUCGGGGGCAUUCAGUGCCGGAGAGAAGUUGUUAAGUCGGCCACUUGGGGAGUACGUACCGCAAGGAUGAAACUUAAAGGAAUUGGCGGGGGAGCACCGCAACGGGAGGAGCGUGCGGUUUAAUUGGAUUCAACACCGGAAAACUCACCAAGGGCGACUGUUACAUGAAAGCCAGGCUAAUGACCUUGCUUGAUUUUCAGAGAGGAGGUGCAUGGCGUCAGUGACUGU